rnacentral:rRNA from 1 species
AACGCUGGCGGCAUGCCUUACACAUGCAAGUCGAACGGCAGCACGGGAGCAAUCCUGGUGGCGAGUGGCGAACGGGUGAGUAAUGUAUCGGAACGUACCUUUCAGUGGGGGAUAACGUAGCGAAAGUUACGCUAAUACCGCAUAUUCUGUGAGCAGGAAAGCAGGGGAUCUUAGGACCUUGCGCUGAUUGAGCGGCCGAUAUCAGAUUAGCUAGUUGGUGAGGUAAAGGCUCACCAAGGCGACGAUCUGUAGCGGGUCUGAGAGGAUGAUCCGCCACACUGGAACUGAGACACGGUCCAGACUCCUACGGGAGGCAGCAGUGGGGAAUUUUGGACAAUGGGCGCAAGCCUGAUCCAGCCAUGCCGCGUGAGUGAAGAAGGCCUUCGGGUUGUAAAGCUCUUUCGGCCGGGAAGAAAUCGCAUGGGUUAAUACCCUGUGCGGAUGACGGUACCGGCAUAAGAAGCACCGGCUAACUACGUGCCAGCAGCCGCGGUAAUACGUAGGGUGCGAGCGUUAAUCGGAAUUACUGGGCGUAAAGCGUGCGCAGGCGGUUUGUUAAGAUAGGCGUGAAAUCCCCGGGCUCAACCUGGGAACUGCGCUUAUGACUGGCAAGCUAGAGUACGGCAGAGGGGGGUGGAAUUCCACGUGUAGCAGUGAAAUGCGUAGAGAUGUGGAGGAACACCAAUGGCGAAGGCAGCCCCCUGGGUCGAUACUGACGCUCAUGCACGAAAGCGUGGGUAGCAAACAGGAUUAGAUACCCUGGUAGUCCACGCCCUAAACGAUGUCAACUAGGUGUUGGGAGGGUAAAACCUUUUAGUACCGGAGCUAACGCGUGAAGUUGGCCCGCCUGGGGAGUACGGC